UACGAAGGGGGCGAGCGUUGUUCGGAUUUACUGGGCGUAAAGGGCGCGCAGGCGGUCUUGAAAGUCAGGCGUGAAAGCCCCGGGCUUAACCUGGGAAUUGCGCUUGAUACUUUGAGACUGGAGUACGGGAGAGGAGAGUGGAAUUCCCAGUGUAGAGGUGAAAUUCGUAGAUAUUGGGAAGAACACCAGUGGCGAAGGCGGCUCUCUGGACCGUAACUGACGCUGAGGCGCGAAAGCGUGGGGAGCAAACAGG
rnacentral:rRNA from 1 species